rnacentral:rRNA from 1 species
UACGAAGGGGGCUAGCGUUGUUCGGAAUUACUGGGCGUAAAGCGUGCGCAGGCGGCUUCUCAAGUCAGGGGUGAAAGCCCAGAGCUCAACUCUGGAACUGCCUUUGAUACUGGGGAGCUCGAGUCCGGAAGAGGUGAGUGGAACUCCGAGUGUAGAGGUGAAAUUCGUAGAUAUUCGGAAGAACACCAGUGGCGAAGACGGCUCACUGGUCCGGUACUGACGCUGAGGUGCGGAAAGCGUGGGGAGCAAACAGGG